CUUUAAUGGAGAGUUUGAUCCUGGCUCAGGACGAACGCUGGCGGCGUGCCUAAUACAUGCAAGUCGAGCGGACUUGAUGGAGAGCUUGCUCUCUUGAUAGUUAGCGGCGGACGGGUGAGUAACACGUAGGCAACCUGCCUGUAAGACCGGGAUAACUAGCGGAAACGUUAGCUAAUACCGGAUAAUUUAUUUCAUCGCAUG
rnacentral:rRNA from 1 species